rnacentral:tRNA from 1 species
GCCGAAGUGGCGGAACGGCAGACGCGCCAGGUUCAGGGUCUGGUGAGGGGUUCCUCGUGCGGGUUCAAAUCCCGCCUUCGGCA